rnacentral:rRNA from 1 species
AUUGAACGCUGGCGGCAGGCCUAACACAUGCAAGUCGAGCGGAUGAAGGGAGCUUGCUCCUGGAUUCAGCGGCGGACGGGUGAGUAAUGCCUAGGAAUCUGCCUGGUAGUGGGGGAUAACGUCCGGAAACGGGCGCUAAUACCGCAUACGUCCUGAGGGAGAAAGUGGGGGAUCUUCGGACCUCACGCUAUCAGAUGAGCCUAGGUCGGAUUAGCUAGUUGGUGGGGUAAAGGCCUACCAAGGCGGCGAUCCGUAACUGGUCUGAGAGGAUGAUCAGUCACACUGGAACUGAGACACGGUCCAGACUCCUACGGGAGGCAGAAGUGGGGACUAUUGGACAAUGGGCGAAAGCCUGAUCCAGCCAUGCCGCGUGUGUGAAGAAGGUCUUCGGAUUGUAAAGCACUUUACGUUGGGAGGAAGGGCAGUAAGUUAAUACCUUGCUGUUUUGACGUUACCAACAGAAUAAGCACCGGCUAACUUCGUG